UGGAAGGGAAAGGUGAAGGGAAGAGAAACCAAGGAGGAAAGUUGGUUGCUAAGGGGAAAUGGAGGUCUGAAGAAAGACUUUUUGCCUCUUCCAGCAAUUACAGAACCUCUGCAGCUCCCAGAAGGGAGAGCUCAAGUGAGCUGCCUGUCAUAGCUGUGACUCUAGUGCUCAUAAAGGUCAGCCUGGCCACAGGAAAACAGGCACAGCCAAAUGCCAGGCAUUUGCUUGGCUUUAAGAGUCAUUUACUGCUUUAAAAGCUACAAAUGAAAGGCAGCAUGAAGCUGGAGCACCCCAGGACUUGAGCUUUCUCCAGCAGCACGGAGCACGUGGGAGGCUGCCUUGUGCCAGUAGCUCAGGGAGGGCAGGCAGCCAAAGGAUCAGCAUCUACCAAGCGCUGCAUGGACAGGGCACCCUGAGCACUCCCACUGGGAAGUGUAAGCCAGGAUGGGCCCAUGCAGGUCACCCAGACACGGAGCCUGAACUUGAAUUGCUGAGCCCAGGGUUUGUCCCCAUUCCCUGUGAGCAUUUCCAGGGCAUCCAGAUGAAGCACUGAGCAGAUCCCCAGCUCUCACUCUGGCUGGUGGCCAAUGGGCAGCUCAGCCCUCCAGAAGCAGGCACUGCACCAAUGAGCUAAACUUCUCUCUUGAUACCAUUAAAAACUUACUUCUGAGUAACUUUAAAUUUCUCUUCUCAGCCUUUACUAACUGUUGUGACCCUUCAGUCCUUCCAUCCCUUCCUCUAAUUUUGUAAGUCCCAGGAGUCAGUGCCUGCUCUGGAAGCCCACACGAGUGCUGAGGGCACAACGCUGCAGCAGGAAGGAGAGCACCAUGCUUUGUCUCUCCUCAGCAGUGCAGCUAUUCCUAACGUCUCCUGCCUCAGCACCAAGCAGGAACUGGGGUUAGGAAGAUCACGCUGUGUGAGAGCACCUUGGUGCCACAUUUAUCCUUGGUGGGCACAGUUCCUGACACAGCUGGUCUGGGAUCAGUACACAGGACCAGACCCAGGGAGGGAUUCGCAAGAGGGCAGGGGGCUGGCCGUGGAGUUGCUCAGCCCUGAAGCCUCCCACACUGCCCACUUGCACCGACACUUGCCAGGCAGGGUAAGUUCUCCCCUGCUCAGGAACAGACCAGCUUGGGUUUGCCACAAGAGGGAGCAAAACUGCCAGCUGGGCACGGUGGGCAGAGCUCAGCCCCCAGCCUGGGGACUCCUCGCCAGCCCUCAGCCUCUCAUCACACCUCCAGAAGGUCACCAGGCAGCACUUCAGCAGACAACCUCAUUUCUACCAAAGAAAGGUCACAGGGAGGCAAACCAGGCACAGGAAGGAGCCAUGGAAACUAAGAAAGCAGUGAAGGCCGAUGGGCACCUCCAGAUUUCCCAGCUCCAUGUAUCUGUGUCUGGAUAAACACAUCCCCACACAAACACGUACACAUCUGCAGGGAACCUUCCCUUCUGCCCCUAAAGGCGUUUCAUUGUUUUGCUAAUUCCCAGGAUGUAAUCUGGUUUGCAUUCAGUGGGAUGUUAAGCAUCUAAUUGUCAAGUGCUGAUAAGCCAUGAGAAAUUUUAUGACAAGAUAGGCAUCAGCUGAAAGGAGAUAAAACACCUCAGAUGUCAAGGUGUGAUUUCCAGGUGAGAUCAGAGAUAUUGGAAACAGAGCAUGCCAGGGAUGAGCUGCUGAAGUGCUACAGGUGGAAAUGAGCAGAUUGAGAAGUUUUGGAUCAAACUCUGCUCUUACCAACUGCUUUGCCUUCCCAGCUGCACCGGGCACCAGCAGCACACACCUGGGUGAUGUCACCACUUGGAAAAGGCCUCAAAUGUCAUGCUUUUCAUGUAAAACCUGUCAUUUACAGCUGCCACAGGUCUAAAAAUGCUGCCAAGCAUCCAGAAGUACCAGAGCAGGGCUAUAAACAUGUUUUUCUGCCUCCUUUCGUCUCUUCAAAUGAGAUGGAACUCACAGCGCAGCCCCAGCCAGUCCCUCAUCAGCCCUGCCUUGUGCCCUUGGAAGUGAAGAUCAGACACAGCUUUGCACUUCAAACUGACUUGUUCCAGCCCAAGUAACUUCUUGAUCUUGUAAUCACCACUGUUAC